rnacentral:misc_RNA from 1 species
UGCCCUCCUCCACCAAUCCGACACGCCCGUUCACGAAGAACACGCUCGACGAACAUCUCGACAUGCUGAUGGUUUGCCACCACCUGUCGCCGUCCAUACCGGAAGAUCUGGCGUUCGCCGAAAGCCGCAUCCGCAAGGA